AAACAGGGCCUCUGUGCCAGGGGGAGCAACGGCAGCCAACAACACACUGCUCAAUGCUUAUGCCGGGACCACCCCCCGAGGGUCUGGUUUGUUUAAGUAGGCGCCACACCUAGUCCAUGGCCCCGGCCAGGGCUAGAACUCACGACCCCUGAGAUCAGGACCAGAGGAGAGGUCAGGAGUCGGAUGCUUAACCGAUGGAGCCAGCCGGGGGCCUGAGAAACACACUGCUUUAUCCUGUGUCUCUGUGACAUCCUUUGAAAUAGGAAAGUGCUGCAUCCUGCUCUGUCCUGCUUCUCCAAUACUGAGGUGCAUCUCCCAAGCAGAUGUGCAUUGGAGAACCAGCGCCAUGGCCCAUCCCCAGACCCCGCACAGACCACCCGCUACCACCAAGUUGUGGAACCACAGAGGCUGCAGAGCUUCAUCUUCAGCUCUGCCUGGAAAGUAGGGUCUAGCCUCCUUUGUACUUUGUGCUUUAUAUUCAUGUAUUUUCUUUGAUUCUUUUUUAUUA